UCCUACGGGGCGCAGCAGUGGGGGAUAUUGCACAAUGGGGGAAACCCUGAUGCAGCGACGCCGCGUGGGCGAAGAAGCGCCUCGGCGCGUAAAGCCCUGUCAGCAGGGAAGAAAAUGACGGUACCUGAAGAAGAAGCCCCGGCUAACUACGUGCCAGCAGCCGCGGUAAUACGUAGGGGGCAAGCGUUAUCCGGAUUUACUGGGUGUAAAGGGAGCGUAGACGGCAUAGCAAGUCUGAUGUGAAUGAUCGGGGCUCAACCCCGGGCCUGCAUUGGACACUGUUAAGCUGGAGUACAGGAGAGGUA
rnacentral:rRNA from 1 species